GACAGAGGGUGCAAACGUUGUUCGGAAUUACUGGGCGUAAAGCGCGUGUAGGCAGCUUGGCAAGUCGGGUGUGAAAGCCCUGGGCUCAACCUAGGAAGUGCACUCGAAACUGCUUCGCUUGAGUAUCGGAGAGGAAAGCGGAAUUCUCGGUGUAGAGGUGAAAUUCGUAGAUAUCGAGAGGAACACCAGUGGCGAAGGCGGCUUUCUGGACGAUCACUGACGCUGAGACGCGAAAGCGUGGGGAGCGAACAGG
rnacentral:rRNA from 1 species